CCCUUGCAGGUUGUCAUCGAUGGCUCCGAUGCUUGGGCCAAGCUAGGCAUUUGUGGGAAAAUUAAAAUUGUGCUGCCAUUUUUCUUCGGGUGAUUGUCCUCGGCCAGAUCAGGGCGUUCAUGUUGGCAACCUCAAUACAUCCACUCCGCUCCCAGCUAGCUCUUUAGAAUUUUGGAUAUAAUGAAAAUGGUAAGUGUCAUGUCCGUUCCAGCUAGAAUGAGCUAGAACAUGACCAGCUUAUGUUAAAAUGUGUCAAAUCUUGUGUUUUUUUUAUUUAUCCUAUCUCCACUUUCUGGUUGAAUUAUGUUUCUUAACAAUCUGCAUCGUUAGAUUUGUUAUAACGAUCUUUACCCUGUUAGGACCUCAGUAUUGUGAUGGACAAUUUGACCAACUUUGUUUCUACACCAGUGGAUUUUGUAGUAGAC